GACAUAUCCACGCGACUGGUUGCCUCGGCAUUACCCUCUCUUCCACACAAAGCUCACAUCGGCGGCUGCUCUGUUAUUUCACACAGGCGCGCCGCGGCGGCCAUUCCCCACCGGUAAGAUGUCGACGGACGGAUUGGAGGUCGACGGGUAUGUUCUUAUUGCUUCAACGUCUCUCUCCCCCGAGUUCCUUCCUCCAUCUUUUUGCAAAUCCCUCCACUGAUGGUGCUAGAUUUGAUUGCAAGAGGGGGGAGCCAACAUCACUGGAACCUAUGGCCUGUUCGUCAGCUUAUGCCGCCGCUAUGCCCUGGACCAUAUCCCCUCGCCCAUGGCAUUCGUUCGAAUCAGCACACGAGAGAGAAUCUGAUGCUGGCCCCUUACCCCCUGGCGAUAUCCUAACCCUCGUGGAAUAAGCCAUAGCCACGGAACAACUCUUCCUCUCGAUCCCCUUUUCUCUUCCCUACGCGCACGGCGGCGCCGGUGCUCUCCGGCGAGAUGUGUACCAAUGGUGUCAAUUGCAACGGAAUCUUUGGCGGUCCUUCCGCUUGGAGUGGUUUCGUCCUACCUGUGGAGUCUCAGGAUUCCAUGAGCAUCGUCAAUGCCGCGAUGGGCGCCGCCCGCAAGACCUUAGAGCCAUGUGGAGAGGCGGCUGGAUAUGAGGUGUUCUCUGAAGAUACCAGUGGCUGGACACGCAGGACGGACAGUCGCAUUACCAUAAAGCAAACUAUACUCGCUUAGUCAAACUUGCCUGUUCGCUGGCCGCCAAUGCUCCACGCCCGCACCUGAACAACUUGUGGCCUCCGCUGGCCAACGAUGCUCCACGCCAUGCAUGCGUACAGGCCUACAGGUCUCUCCGCACCAGGACGUACAGAGGUCUCCAGCUAGCCAUGCUGGGCGUACAUGUCAGGUGCGCAUUUGAGGCUGGUCACAAUGGGCAAGAACAUAAGUUAGUAACUUACACAUUUUCCUAGACUAUGUUAUCAUCUUCAUAGUGGGUAGGAACAUCUAUGUAGUGUAUGUUUCGGUAACUUACCUAGUUACCACAAGCACCUCUCUCUUUAUUAAAUAUGUGUUACAUAAGCAAAGUUGUAUUGGAGUGUGUGAUGUUACUCCUAAGUUCCUCCCCAUUAUGACUAGCCUGAAGCCUAGAUGCCUUUUCAAAUGGGUGGGACCUCCCAGGCUCAAUACGGGCCAAAAAGAAAUCAAAUACAUGGCAUAUACUCUGGCAGCACGAAUCCCCGUGGUGGUGCAACGGCCGAGAUUCCGGCCUACCUGUAGCGCGGCCACCAUUGGCAUUUUCCGAAACAUAGAUCCAUCCGUCCGAAAAAUAGUGGAGGAGAUGAAAAGAAAUGAUUUGGUGAAGAAGACGUAGAGGCCCGAAGAACUAAUCGAUGGGGAGUAAUUGUGUGGACGAUGGGUGAUGGGUCUACAUGGAAAGUUGGAAACGGUGAUGGUUUUUAAGUUGCUUACUGAACACACGUGUCAUUAUGCAUGUGGUAAUAGUUUCUCAUGUAGCACACAUGGCCCACUUGAUGAUGUGGAUAUGCUGCAUGUAGAGAUAAAUAUAAUAAUGGGGUGAACUUCUUUAGGUAUACUAGACAAUUCCCCGCACGUUGCUGCGGAAUUACUUGCAAUAGUUUAGUACAAAUUUGGUUGUGUGAUUUGUAUAGUUGAAUUAUGUAUAUAGUGGUAGUACUAUGCUACAAUGCUUAAGAAAAACAUAAAAUUGUACAUGCAUGUGCCGUAUUGAUACCUUCAUUGACUGGUAAAUGGCUUAUUUAAAAAAUCAUAAUAUAAAUACCAUUUAUGACUUUCAAUACAUUCACUCUUGAAUUAAUUGUGUAUUAAAAAUUUUAAAAAUAACAUAUCUUGCACACUCUAGUGACUGCAAGACAUCUAUAUAGCAACACACAUAGCAUUGUACCCAUAGAAGGUCCAACUUUCAUAUAAAAAAAUAUUUACAAUUGGCAAGUACAUGGACAACCAGUGGGAUGUCCAUAGAUGAAUUCCCCAUGCGUCGCUGUAAGGAUUUGCGGACCAAAAUUGGAGAGGCAAUUGGUUAAUGAAGCAAAGAAUAAAAUACGAAUAUAGUUUUAGAGAACCCUAAUAUGUUAGUUAUGCUAAUCACAUUUGUCCUUGAGUUGAGAGGAAAAUUAAGAACAAUAUCAUAACAAAAGACAUAUUGUAUGCAAGCACUUAGUAUAGCAUAUGUACACACCUCAGAUAGUAUCAGGAGAUAAUUAUGCAUAAAAAAACAUAUUGACAUCUUAUACUUCCUCAAUCCAAAAAUCCAAAAUAUAAGAUGUUUUUUCAGUUCAAAUUGAACUGAAAAAACGUCAUAUAUUUUAGGAAGGACGUAGUAUUUUGUAGUGAUGGAGAAUCUGUUGUUGAUUGGUGAUCCUCUUUGUCUUUCGCGAUGAGGAGAAGAUAGUAACAUAGGAUGAAGUUGUAGGAAUAUAUAUAUAUCAGUGCUCACUAAUUCAUUAGAAUGUGAACAGAAAUAGGGAGGGGAACGUUUGGUUCCUGGGUACAUAUGUACCCUAUAUGAAAAAAAAUUUAGUAAUUCAAUAAAAAGUCGAAAAUUUCUAAAAAUAUUUUUGAAAAAAACCUGACCUUCCAUUGCACUAGUAAGAAAAGUGCCAACAAAAUAAAAUUCCUCUUUGACUUCUUUUCAAAAAAGACAAAUUUUCAGUCAAAAUAGCGUGAACAGUGGCCUAUAAUAGCAAAUAAAUUUUGUCUUUUUCGCUGUGAAGUCAACAUAAUUUCUUUUUUUGUGAAAAUUCAUAUACUAGUGCGCAAGUAAGUCAAGUUUAUUCUAAAAAUAGUUUCUUAACUAUUUUGACUUUUUGUUUAAUCAUUAAAUAAAAUUCCCCAUAUAGGGUACACAUGUACCCAGGAACCAUUGGGUAUUUCCCACAGAAAUAGGGGAUAUAAAGGUU